rnacentral:tRNA from 1 species
GCCGUGGUAGCCAAGUUGGUCAAGGCGAACGACUGAAAAUCGUUUCAUCUCAGUUCGAUUCUGAGCCACGGCA